CUAAGCUCUAAGGAAUAUACUCAUGGAGUUGUGAUUCGAUUUCGAUCCGUUGAGGCAUUUGAGAUAUUUAUAAACAGCAAAGAGUACAAAAAUGUAUGGCAUUCUAAGUUCCAGACUAUUGUCCACAAAUCUUUUUCUCUUCAUUUCUCUGUUGAUCCAGUGGGAAGUGAAAUUAUGUAGCGAGG